rnacentral:misc_RNA from 1 species
UACGGAGGGUGCAAGCGUUGUCCGGAUUUAUUGGGCGUAAAGCGUCUGUAGGCUUUCCUUUAAGUUAUUCCUCAAAGCCCAGGGCUCAACUCUGGAAAGGGGAAUAAUACUAUUGGAAUUGAAUGGCACAGGGGUUACUGGAACUUGUGGUGUAGGAGUGAAAUCCGUUGAUAUCACAAGGAACACCGAGGGCGAAGGCGGGUAACUGGGUGCACAUUGACGCUAAGAGACGGCAGCUAGGGUAGCGAAAGGG